rnacentral:rRNA from 1 species
GACGAACCGUGCGAACGUUAUUCGGAAUCAUUGGGCUUAAAGGGCGCGUAGGCGGCGGCGUAAGUUGGAUGUGAAAUCCCAUCGGCUCAACCGUGGAAUCGCUCCCAGUACUGCGUCGCUCGAGGGGGAUAGGGGUCUGCGGAACUACCGGUGGAGCGGUGAAAUGUGUUGAUAUCGGUGGGAACGCCAGUGGCGAAAGCGGCGGACUUGACCCAUACUGACGCUGAGGCGCGAAAGCUAGGGGAGCAAACGGG